GUGGGGAAUAUUGGACAAUGGGCGAAAGCCUGAUCCAGCCAUGCCGCGUGUGUGAAGAAGGCCUUUUGGUUGUAAAGCACUUUAAGCGAGGAGGAGGCUACCGAGAUUAAUACUCUUGGAUAGUGGACGUUACUCGCAGAAUAAGCACCGGCUAACUCUGUGCCAGCAGCCGCGGUAAUACAGAGGGUGCAAGCGUUAAUCGGAUUUACUGGGCGUAAAGCGCGCGUAGGUGGCCAAUUAAGUCAAAUGUGAAAUCCCCGAGCUUAACUUGGGAAUUGCAUUCGAUACUGGUUGGCUAGAGUAUGGGAGAGGAUGGUAGAAUUCCAGGUGUAGCGGUGAAAUGCGUAGAGAUCUGGAGGAAUACCGAUGGCGAAGGCAGCCAUCUGGCCUAAUACUGACACUGAGGUGCGAAAGCAUGGGGAGCAAACAGGAUUAGAUACCCUUGUAGUCC
rnacentral:rRNA from 1 species